UUGGCUGGCACAGGUCUACUGGUCUCCUUUUUAAGUUGACGCCUGGUCUAGUGGGGGAAAAAAUCGGAGACACCCUUGUCCCUCAUACUACAUGGGGAACGGGACGUUUGUUGCAGGAUUUCACACCGUGUGGAGUAGAGCAAUCUUCUCUGGUGUCCCUCUGCCUCUCCCACCACCUUCCUGGGUCCCUCCUCCGACCUGCAAGUGGAAGUUCCUGCUCCAGAAAUCACCAACAAGGUAGUGAAGUUAACACUGGGAGUCCCGUAGCAGGCAAGGCUUCCUGAAAAAUGCCUGCACCGUCUGUGCUCACUCCCCCGGGUCAUGCAGGUGCAGGGCCCAAGAUCAUCCUGUAGGGUGAUAGGCUCCUGAACUCUCUAGGAUCUCUGCAAUCCUAAGAAUUUGUUGUGGGAAAUGAUCGCAUCCUCAGUAAAAUGUAACAAAAUAAUAGCUCAAAGAGUUUCCAUAAGGACUGAACCACUAAAAACUACAAGUCUAAUUUUCGGUUUACGCUGUACUGCGUUCCUCUCUUUAGAUCAGUCUUUUGGGAUAAUGUUGUGCGUUCAUUACUAGAUGGCAAAGUUCUUAUCUAAUUAAGAAAAAAUAAGAAUAUACUCUUUCUUAACCCAGAAAAUCCUCUGAACCCUGAGGUCAGACCAAUCUAACUAGACUGACAUUUUCUACAUUCAUUUCAGAUAGUUAGCAUCUCAGGAGAGUAAAUCGAGUAGCUGGUCUUGGUUGAAACAUUUGAGGAGUAGGCAUGCCGAAUGUAUCUUUACACAGUAAUUAGACGUGUUUUCACAGACACUGUGGGGCAGAAUAGAUUAACAUGGAUGGAUCUCAUACAAGAUAAUUUCUAAAUAGUACUGGGACCUGAGGAGAGACAGAUCAUCCCAAAUGGUUUAUUAUUUCCUCACAGAAGA